UAUUAAUCGUAGCGUGCUUUCCUCGUUCGGUGAUUUUUCCAUAUUAUUGAGACCAAGCUUUGAUGAACUUCUUUCUUGUGACUUGGUUAGGCAUGUGCCCAUAAUCAUUCAAAAUCACACAAAAACGAAAGACAAAGAAAGCCAAGAAACAUAGGAAAGGGUCAAGAUCUCGAUCGCCCAGUGGGGAGUCGUCUCAAUCUGAGGAAGAAUUUUCCAAAGAAAAAACAUCGUCACACGAAAAGAAACAUCACAAGCGGUCAUGCUUUAAGUCACCAGAAUCAUCUGCUUCCGAAUCGGAACCAGAAAAAGAACUAAGUUCAUCAAAAAAGAAAAAGCAUAAGAAGGUGAGAUUUGAGCUACCUUAUAGACAUCUAUCUUCAUUGAAGUUGACACUCUUUUGACUUGUGUCACAACACACUUGUCCUUCAUGUUUUUUUCC